UGCCUUAUUUUCAUGAAAAGGACUUCCAUUUGUUUAUAGAAAGAACUAACUUGUCCGAAUAAAUACAUUGAUAACACAUUUGUAACAAAAAGGAAGUAUAAAACAAUGAAGAUCUCACGUAGCUAAAGAACUCAACCCCGUCAAAAGCAUAUGAUCAUUCCGGCUGCAACUCCAUCCAUAGAACGACAUCAUCGAAGCUGUUGAGACGACAUCAUCGAAGCUGUUGAGAAGUGGGGACAAACCAUAGGAUUCCUUAUUACUGUUAUAACUCAAAACAUACCAACCAAUCACAUUAUUUGAUUCUUAAAAACAUAACAAGCUUACAGCAAUCUUAUUACUACCAUAACUCAAAACAUGCCAACCGAUAUAUCUUCCAUUACAUUUAACUCUACCUGAUGCUUAAAUACGAAACCAAACGAGAUAAAUUAACUACUACCCGCUACCAUGUGAAGACUAAGCCGUUAGGCUCUUUUAAAAAAAAAAUUCUACCAAAAUCAUCAAAAAGCCCUAGCCACUGACGUUUCCGAAAUCACAUUUGCUUCCAGAAUAAUCAAAUCACAGAUCCAAUUGAUAUCUCAAGGGCUUCUAAAACGGCUGCUGCGAAGAUAUAAUCACAUUGCACGGAUCUGCUGCCAUCAUCAGCGAGUUCUUCUGGUGUCGAGGGAGAAGAUUGAUAAGGGGAUAUUGAGGGAGACCCAAGCUAUCAUGAGACAGGUUGCUUCCAACAUUUACUUACUUGCCUUGUGUGUUUGAUGUAUUGGCAUAUACGGACACGGAUGUAGCUGUUCCGUUCACGUGGAUUGAAACCGACCCACCCCAAGUUGAUUGCUAAUCCUCAGAUGGUUAAGCUCCACGCUUUUGAUACCAAGAUUCACAAAGUGGAUACCCUUGUCUCUUACAAGAACGACGAGUGGGAUGAAGAAGAGUAGACACCACCAACUCUCUCUCACGGUUUCCUCUUUUCAUGUUCUUCAAAGUCAAGUGAAUCCUUUAUUGACCCUCAUAUGGUCCGGUCCUAUUCUGUUUUAUUUUUCUUUCUGAAUUGUGUGACCAUUUUGUACCUUUGCUGUUUAAGUUUGUUCAAUAGUAAUCAGCUUUUAUCAUUUGCUGGCGCAGACCAUUGUUUUUUUAGCAAACCAAACUUGAUGAUGGUCUUGGAUUCAAAAUAGAUCUCUUUUUAAGUCUAUCAAUCUCUAACAAUAACGAUAGAAUGUAUGAACAUAUUUACAUUGA